GCUCCGUUCGUCUAGGGGUCAGGACGCCGGCCUCUCACGCCGGUAACAGGGGUUCGAAUCCCCUACGGAGCG
rnacentral:tRNA from 1 species